UCGGGCUCCGGCCCGAUCCUCCCACCCUUUGUGUACCCACCUCUGUUGCUUUGGCGGGCCGCGGUCCUCCGCGGCCGCCCUCCGUCCGGGGGGUGGCCAGCGCCCGCCAGAGGACCAUCAAACUCCGGUCAGUGAACGUUGCCGUCUGAAAAACAAUCAAUAAACUAAAACUUUCAACAACGGAUCUCUUGGUUCUGGCAUCGAUGAAGAACGCAGCGAAAUGCGAUAAGUAAUGUGAAUUGCAGAAUUCAGUGAAUCAUCGAAUCUUUGAACGCACAUUGCGCCCCUCGGUAUUCCGAGGGGCAUGCCUGUUCGAGCGUCAUUACAACCCUCAAGCUCUGCUUGGUGUUGGGCACCGCCCUUCCGCGGGCGCGCCUCAAAGACCUCGGCGGUGGCGUCUUGCCUCGAGCGUAGUAGAAAACACCUCGCUUUGGAGCGCACGGCGCCGCCCGCCGGACGAACCUUUUGAACUUUCUCAAGGUUGACCUCGGAUCAGGUAGG
rnacentral:rRNA from 1 species